GACGAACGCUGGCGGCGUGCCUAAUACAUGCAAGUUGAGCGAUGAAGAUUGGUGCUUGCACCAAUUUGAAGAGCAGCGAACGGGUGAGUAACGCGUGGGGAAUCUGCCUUUGAGCGGGGGACAACAUUUGGAAACGAAUGCUAAUACCGCAUAACAACUUUAAACAUAAGUUUUAAGUUUGAAAGAUGCAAUUGCAUCACUCAAAGAUGAUCCCGCGUUGUAUUAGCUAGUUGGUGAGGUAAAGGCUCACCAAGGCGAUGAUACAUAGCCGACCUGAGAGGGUGAUCGGUCACAUUGGGACUGAGACACGGCCCAAACUCCUACGGGAGGCAGCAGUAGGGAAUCUUCGGCAAUGGACGAAAGUCUGACCGAGCAACGCCGCGUGAGUGAAGAAGGUUUUCGGAUCGUAAACUCUGUUGGUAGAGAAGAACGUUGGUGAGAGUGGAAAGCUCAUCAAGUGACGGUAACUACCCAGAAAGGGACGGCUAACUACGU
rnacentral:rRNA from 1 species